GAUGAACGCUGGCGGCGUGCCUAAUACAUGCAAGUCGAGCGAACGGACGAGAAGCUUGCUUCUCUGAUGUUAGCGGCGGACGGGUGAGUAACACGUGGAUAACCUACCUAUAAGACUGGGAUAACUUCGGGAAACCGUAGCUAAUACCGGAUAAUAUUUUGAACCGCAUGGUUCAAAAGUGAAAGACGGUCUUGCUUUCACUUAUAGAUGGAUCCGCGCUGCAUUAGCUAGUUGGUAAGGUAACGGCUUACCAAGGCAACGAUGCAUAGCCGACCUGAGAGGGUGAUCGGCCACACUGGAACUGAGACACGGUCCAGACUCCUACGGGAGGCAGCAGUAGGGAAUCUUCCGCAAUGGGCGAAAGCCUGACGGAGCAACGCCGCGUGAGUGAUGAAGGUCUUCGGAUCGUAAAACUCUGUUAUUAGGGAAGAACAUGUGUGUAAGUAACUGUGCACAUCUUGACGGUACCUAAUCAGAAAGCCACGGCUAACUACGUG
rnacentral:rRNA from 1 species